CUUCACCGAGCCCAGCCACAGCGGUCGUUCAUCGGCGCGUUCCUGGCCGUAGGUGGCGAUGAGGGCCUGGGCCUC
rnacentral:antisense_RNA from 3 species